rnacentral:rRNA from 1 species
GAUGAACGCUGGCGGCGUGCCUAAUACAUGCAAGUCGAGCGAACGGACGAGAAGCUUGCUUCUCUGAUGUUAGCGGCGGACGGGUGAGUAACACGUGGAUAACCUACCUAUAAGACUGGGAUAACUUCGGGAAACCGGAGCUAAUACCGGAUAAUAUUUUGAACCGCAUGGUUCAAAAGUGAAAGACGGUCUUGCUGUCACUUAUAGAUGGAUCCGCGCUGCAUUAGCUAGUUGGUAAGGUAACGGCUUACCAAGGCAACGAUGCAUAGCCGACCUGAGCGGGUGAUCGGCCACACUGGAACUGAGACACGGUCCAGACUCCUACGGGAGGCAGCAGUAGGGAAUCGUCCGCAAUGGUCGAAAGCCUGACGGAGCAACGCCGCGUGAGUGAUGAAGGUCUUCGGAUCGUAAAACUCUGUUAUUAGGGAAGAACAUAUGUGUAAGUAACUGUGCACAUCUUGACGGUACCUAAUCAGAAAGCCACGGCUAACUACGUG